GAUGAACGCUGGCGGCGUGCCUAAUACAUGCAAGUCGAGCGAACGGAUGAGAAGCUUGCUUCUCUGAUGUUAGCGGCGGACGGGUGAGUAACACGUGGAUAACCUACCUAUAAGACUGGGAUAACUUCGGGAAACCGGAGCUAAUACCGGAUAAUAUUAUGAACCGCAUGGUUCAAAAGUGAAAGACGGUCUUGCUGUCACUUAUAGAUGGAUCCGCGCUGCAUUAGCUAGUUGGUAAGGUAACGGCUUACCAAGGCAACGAUGCAUAGCCGACCUGAGAGGGUGAUCGGCCACACUGGAACUGAGACACGGUCCAGACUCCUACGGGAGGCAGCAGUAGGGAAUCUUCCGCAAUGGGCGAAAGCCUGACGGAGCAACGCCGCGUGAGUGAUGAAGGUCUUCGGAUCGUAAAACUCUGUUAUUAGGGAAGAACAUAUGUGUAAGUAACUGUGCACAUCUUGACGGUACCUAAUCAGAAAGCCACGGCUAACUACGUG
rnacentral:rRNA from 1 species